CAAAACUCGCCAUGUUUCCCCACGGCACUCUGCCGGUCUCCUGCCUCCCCUGAGCCCCACUCUUUCUUCUUGACUUGACUCGCACGCCAUUGCAAUUAUAUCUCUGCUCUCCUUUCCUCCUCCCUCUCUCUAUAUCUUUCUUGAUCUCCUCUUAACCGCAUCCAAGCUCGGCCAUGGGCGUUCUGCGCCGCACGAGUCACUGUCUGUCCGUCGCAUUCGCGCUCUUCUUCGUCGCCACAGCUCUCGGUAAGUUAACAAGCUUCUAACAACGGCUAACACGUCCCAAAUUACUUCCCUGCUUAUUUUCCGGAGUUCUUAAUGCCUUAAAAAUCCCUCCUUUCUUUCCCAAUCCUUGCUUCACUCUCCUGUUUCUUGCUCUGUUUCGAUUUGAGAAAGAGAAAAAUUGUUUUUUUUUUUUUUUGGGUUCCCCUCUUUGGAAGAACCAUCAAUGCCCAAUAACCAGAUGCCUUCCUUUUCCUUUAUGUUUGAUACUGGCCAAAGGGUGAAACAGAUCUGUGAAACUCCCUAAAAAGGCAACUUUCUGAGUUAUUGUUUCUAUGUCCGAAUCUAUUAGUACUUCCACUUAUCAUAGUUUCUUAAACCCACCAAAACCCUGCUAUCAAAAUCCCAUUUUAUUUGCUAUUGUAUAUUAAUGGCCAAAAAGUAAAUGUGAUGACCAAAACUCAGUUAAAUAUAGAUCUCUUUUCUCCUGGGUUCGGUAAUAAUUCCUUGAACCCCUCCAAUGCCCUGUUAUGAAAUCCCCAUUGUUAAGACACUUGUAAAAAUGGCUGGCUCUUGUUAUCACCAUCAUUGCGCUCCGAAAAAGAGCAAAAGACAACACAAAAGCUCACAUAAAAAGCUAACUUUUUUCCUUGAAAUGGGCUUUUGAUUCUUAGACAAAAAAAAAAACAUAUUUUCUACGUUUCUCAGUGCCCCAGAUGCGAUUUUUAUCAAGUAAUAGUGAUGAUUCCAUACGUCCAUCCAAAAACCUGCUAUCAAAAUCCCAACUUUAUCAUAGUUUCGCAACUAUUGGAGGUCAUUUAUGAGUAACUUCUAUGCAGGGAGCAGCAGAUUGGUGGUGGAAGUGGUUCCGGAGGGGGAGGAGGCGAGAACAAGGCAUCAUUUGGAGCAGUGGGAGCAGGCGGCGGCGGCGGCGGCGGCUGCG
rnacentral:lncRNA from 1 species